rnacentral:rRNA from 1 species
AGUCGAGCGGUACAGAGAGAAGCUUGCUUCUUUGCUGACGAGCGGCGGACGGGUGAGUAACGCGUAGGAAUCUACCUAUUAGUGGGGGAUAAGCCAGAGAAAUUUGGUCUAAUACCGCAUACGCCCUACGGGGGAAAGGAGGGGCUCUUCGGACCUUUCGCUAUUAGAUGAGCCUGCGUAAGAUUAGCUAGUUGGUGAGGUAAGAGCUCACCAAGGCGACGAUCUCUAGCUGGUCUGAGAGGAUGAUCAGCCACACUGGGACUGAGACACGGCCCAGACUCCUACGGGAGGCAGCAGUGGGGAAUAUUGGACAAUGGGGGCUACCCUGAUCCAGCCAUGCCGCGUGUGUGAAGAGGGCCUUCGGGUUGUAAAGCACUUUCAGAUGUGAGGAAAGGUGAGUAGUUAAUACCUGCUUACUGUGACGUUAGCAUCAGAAGAAGGACCGGCUAACUCCGUGCCAGCAGCCGCGGUAAUACGGAGGGUCCGAGCGUUAAUCGGAAUUACUGGGCGUAAAGCGCGCGUAGGCGGUCUGUUAAGCUGGAUGUGAAAGCCCAGGGCUCAACCUUGGAACUGCAUUCAGAACUGGCAGACUAGAGUAUUGGAGAGGUAAGUGGAAUUUCCUGUGUAGCAGUGAAAUGCGUAGAUAUGGGAAGGAACACCAGUGGCGAAGGCGACUUACUGGCCAAAUACUGACGCUGAGGUGCGAAAGCGUGGGGAGCAAACGGGAUUAGAUACCCCGGUAGUCCACGCCGUAAACGAUGUCUACUAGCCGUUGGGAUCCUUGAGAUCUUAGUGGCGCAGCUAACGCACUAAGUAGACCGCCUGGGGAG